GAGCCCAACGCGGGGCUCAAUCCCCUGAACCAUGAGACCAUGACCUGAGCGGAAACCAAGAGUUUGGAUGCUUAAGCGACUGAGCCACCCAGGUGCCCAAAGUCUAUGUUUGAUUUUAAGACCAAGAGUUGAUUCUCUGAAAAUCAAAUAGAAUAGACAAACAUUUGCCCACUCAGAUAAAGGGGAAAAAGAGAGAGAUGUGUGCAUGUAGAUAUGGCUCUAUGACAUAGGCAGGGAGACAGAAGUCUGAUGUAUACAGUCACAGCAAUGAACUACAGGGAAUAGAAAAUGAGAAUAUCAAUAUUCAGAUGAGGAUUGGAAAAGAUAGCCAGGCCACUAAAUAAGGCACAAAGCUCUAGUGGCAUUUCCACCUAACUUUCAUUAAAUACAUGAUUACUAUAUUAAUUAAACCAUUCUACUUUAUUUUCAAGUUCCAUAUAACUCUCAUGCCAAAACCUGAUAAACAGAGCCCUUGAGAAAGGUAAACCAGUUUUAUUGAUUAGUACAGAUAGAAAAAUUCUAAAUGAAGUGUAAUCAAAUUGCAUCCAGCUAAGUUUUAAACGAUUAUUACACUAUGAAUGAGAGUGGUUUUCCCAGGGAUUUCACAGUGCUGUGCUGGAGCUGUCUAGUCCUGGAUUGUGAGAGCCACUUGUGCACGUCUGUUCCCAACUCUGCAUUCAAUGCCAUUAAAUCAUCGGCUUGAAAUCAGGUCUGAUUGGACUGUUACAAAUCAGGUAUGAUAAUGAGUAUUUAUAGCAUGGAAAUGAGCAAACGCUACAAAUCAACACCUUUCCCCCCUAACUGUUCCCCAUUUUGCUUCUGAGCCAAGUGAUAAACAUUUGCCAGCACACCACUGGAUGUUAACUGUAUUUUGACAAUAGGAAAGAGAAGAAAUGUGAUCAUACCAAAGAUGCUGAAAAAGCAUUUGAUGAAAUUGUGCAGCCAUUGCAAAUAAAAAGGAGUGGAAGGAAAUUUUUAAAUGUGGUAGAAAGUAUUUGUUUGAGGGGUGGCUGGGUUGCUCAGUCGGUUAAAGUGACUGUCUCUUGAUAUUGGCUCUGGUUGUGAUCUUGCAGAGCGUGGAGCCUGCUUGGGGUCCUCUCUCUCCCUCUCUCUCUGCCCCUACUCUGCUUGUGCGCUCCUCUCUCUCUCAAAAUAAAUAAAUAAAUAAACAUUAAAAAAAGUAUUUGUUUGAAACAGUGAACAUUAUGUUAAAGAGUGAAAUAUGGGAUCUAUUCACAGUAAAGUCAAGAAAAGAUGGGCUUAUUUGUUUUACAUAUAUGUCUAUAUAUGUGUCUCUCUGUGUGUGUUUAUGUAUAUUAAUCACAAAAGCAUUUAGGGUAAUUGCUACUUCUGUUUACCAGGUCCUGCCAGCAUAACGUCAUCAAUGUAAUGGGCCAGUGUGGUGUUCUGUGGGGUGUCAACACGUUUGGAGUCCCUUGGGUGUAUAUUAUAACAAAGAACAGGAGCCGGCAUUGUCCUGAGACAUAAACAGUAAAGUUAAUACUCCCGAUCCUACGUUGAAUGGCUGGAUCUUAAAGAAGAGAGCACAGGCUAUGCAAGCAUUAGAAGGAAUUGUGGCAUCAGCGCCCUGAUAAGCAAGUCCAACUUAACUUCUCACAGAUGCCUGGCACACUCAGAUUGGACUGUAAUGACACUUGAGCUUCAUAACUAACUGUCUCCUUCACAUCACGUAGCAGUAAGUACAGGAGAAGAAGAAGGAGGGCUGCAGGACAGAGAGUGGCACAGUCUUCAGAAGCUAUAGCACUAUCUGCGCCCUGAUUAGAAGAUACUUUCAAUUGAAGACACUUUAGUUUUACUCUUUGUGUCGGGGCAUAAACAACUUGAACACCUGCCCACUGAAAUGAAUAGAAUGAAUGUUUUCAUUGCUCCCCAUGCUGAGCAGAUACCAUCGGAUCUUUUGAUCCUGAGCCACUACCAAGC